AUGCAGGUCCAAGUACGCGCCCUUCCUCGACAGAGAGAAAAAGGCGAAACCGCGAAUGGCUCAUUAAAUCAGUUGUGGUUCCUUGGAGAAUGCACCGCUACUUGGAUAACCGUGGCAAUCCCAGAGCUAAUACAUGCAUCCAGAGCCCCGACCCUCGCCUCCGGGSGGGGGGAUGACGGGCGCAGUUAUUAGACCAAGACCGGCGUUCCCUCCUCCGAGGGGGUCCCAUCCGGKGGUGACUCUGAGUAACCAUGCCGAUCGCACGGGCUCGCCCCGGCGACGUAUCCUUCGAGCGUCUGCCUCAUCAACUUUCGACGGUAGGCCACGCGCCUACCGUGGUUGUAACGGGUGACGGGGAAUCGGGGUUCGAUUCCGGAGAGGGAGCCCGAGAAACGGCUACCACAUCCAAGGAAGGCAGCAGGCGCGCAAAUUACCCACUCCCGGCACGGGGAGGUAGUGACGWAAAAUAACGAUACGGGACUCUUACGAGACCCCGUAGUCGGAAUGAGCUCGAUCCAGACAGCCGCACGAGGAUCGAUCGGAGGGCAAGUCUGGUGCCAGCAGCCGCGGUAACCCCAGCUCCGAUAGCGUAUAUUAAAGUUGCUGCGGUUAAAAAGCUCGUAGUCAGAGCCGUGCGUCUUCCGUCCCGCGGCCCCGUCAACCCUCUGCGGUUCGGGAUACCGUCGGCGUCGGGGCGCGAACCUGCCGUCGUGCGCCGUCGAUGAUCUUCACCGGUCGUCUUCGGUAGGGACGGCGCGUUCACCUUGCCUAAAUCAGAGUGCUCAAGGCAGGCAUACGACCGUUAAAAAGCUCGGACGCAACUGCAUGGAAUGAUGGAACAGGACCUCGGAUCUGUUYUGCCGGAUCGAUCUUCGGAUCCCGAGGUAAUGGUCGAGAGGAACGGACGGGGGCAUACGUACUGCGACGCUAGAGGUGAAAUUCUUGGACCGUCGCAAGACGAACCACUGCGAAAGCAUUUGCCAAGAAUGCUUCCUUUGAUCAAGAACGAAAGUCAGAGUUUCGAAGGCGAUCAGAUACCGCCCUAGUUCUGACCGUAAACGGUACCAGCCAGCGAUCCGGCUGCCGUCGCUAGCGCGACGCGCCGGGAAGCUUCCGGGAAACCAGAGCCUUCGGGUUCCGGGGGAAGUAUGGUUGCAAAGCUGAAACUUAAAGGAAUUGACGGAUGGUCACCACCAGGCGUGGGGCCUGCGGCUCAAUUGGACUCAACACCCGGAAACUCACCCGGCC
rnacentral:rRNA from 1 species